AAAUCUCAUUUGCAAGAAGGUGCAUUUAAGAAGGAUAUUUAAGGAAAGGAAAGGGGAAGAUCUGAAGAAGGUGAUCAUUUUCUUCCUCAAAAGAUUAUUCCUUGCCAAAGCUGACCAUGGGCUGGGCUGUGAUUUUCUUGGCAGUUCUCACUUACUGCACAGGCACGGAUGGUCAGUCCCCUUGGACUCAGCCUCCCUCCAGCUCCGUCUCCCUGGGUGGAACCAUUACGAUCACCUGUAGAACUCAGAGUACCAACAGCAUCGGCUGGUAUCAACAGAAAGAAGGAAAAGGCCCUCAUUUUGUCCACUGUGAUGGCUGCAGCAACAGGGGAGAAGGGAUCCCAAAUCGCUUCACUGCCACCAGAUCUGGCACUACAGGAUCCUGGGCCAUCACCAAUGUGGAGGUUGGAGACGAGGCAGAUUAUUACUGCGGCAGCUGGAACAGUGCAGUUACCCAGUUGCACAGUGAUGAACUCUUAUGGGGAAGCGUGACAAAAACCUUCACUCUCUCUCUUCACACUGAAACCACAUGCAACGUACCUUGACCUGUGACUGGGGCA